rnacentral:rRNA from 1 species
GACGAACGCUGGCGGCGUGCUUAACACAUGCAAGUCGAACGGAAAGGCCCUGCUUUUGUGGGGUGCUCGAGUGGUGAACGGGUGAGUAACACGUGAGUAACCUGCCCUUGGCUUUGGGAUAACUUCAGGAAACUGGGGCUAAUACCGGAUAGGAGCUCCUGCUGCAUGGUGGGGGUUGGAAAGUUUCGGCGGUUGGGGAUGGACUCGCGGCUUAUUAGCUUGUUGGUGGGGUAGUGGCUUACCAAGGCUUUGACGGGUAGCCGGCCUGAGAGGGUGACCGGCCACAUUGGGACUGAGAUACGGCCCAGACUCCUACGGGAGGCAGCAGUGGGGAAUAUUGCACAAUGGGCGGAAGCCUGAUGCAGCAACGCCGCGUGCGGGAUGACGGCCUUCGGGUUGUAAACCGCUUUCGCCUGUGACGAAGCGUGAGUGACGGUAAUGGGUAAAGAAGCACCGGCUAACUACGUG